AGACAGAGCCUUUGGUCCCUCUCCUUAGGCCCCUCCUGUGAUAGUCGAAGAGGCCUAGGAACGCUGAGAGAGCCAUGGCCUCCGCUUCUCUGGAGCCUGCUUAUCUUGAGAGAGCAUGACAGCCUCAGCAGAAUGGUGUCCAAGACGCAGGGGAGAGAAAGAUUGAUUUGGCCCGGUGGGACGGUCCAGCAAAGCUUCCCAGAGCAGAUGAAGAAACCAAGUUGCCCAAGAUCACACAGCAAGAGGAGGCUCCGGCUCAAGCGCUUACUGCAAGUGCAGGGCCUCUGUCCUGGGCUGCCCUCUCUACCUCCUGCUGACCAGCCAGCUCCAGCCCAGGUCAUUCAGAGAGACACCACAAAGGCUGCACCUGCAGAUGCCACCCAGGUCCAUCCUCUGGUCCCCUGAUUUCACACAGGAGGCAUCAGCCACGUGCCAGAGGUGGCAGCUCCUCAGAAGUACCGAAACCUCUGGCUUUUGGAUGAAGUUGUAGCUCUAUGAUGGACUGUCCCCUUGGACUGCCAUGACCUGCUGCCCAGGCUGUGCACUGCACCACUCCAUCUGCCAUAGGUCUAACAGCCUGUAGCCUUGCUCUACAUUGUCACUGAUAAGUAGUCAUUAUUCUCUCCCUGUCUGCAUCUAUAGUCCUCAUUUUCAGUUGUGUACAUGGAGAAAAGGGAGGAGUCCUUCUCAUGGCCUUGGAGAGACCCACAGGAGCUUUCCCUAUCUCAGUAUCCCCACUGACACCUACUUUCUCGGUAGGCCUAGAUGGCUGACCUGAGAGCUCCGGGGCCAGACGCCCUUCCUCACUCCAGGAACUUGGAGCUGCCAGGCAGAGUGGGCUUCUGUUUACCGCCUUGGGCUAAAGACGUAUGUCAGCAAUUGGCGAAGCACAGGGAAGUUGCAGCUCAACUCGCUAGACUGGCAAAUGCAUGCUGCGCCCUCCUCUCACUAUAAGGAUAUAAAACGACCAUUUCUUUAUACUCAGAAACCAGAACACUUCCCUCUGCCGGGUCCUCCUGCCUCCCCCUGCUCAGCCCCAAGGGGCUCCCAGAAUGCCCUGGGGCCUAUGGCAAUGGGGAAAGAACUGAAGGGGAAACGGAGAGCCACCCUGGGACAGUGGAGGGCAGAAGCAUUAUUAAGUACCUGCUGUAUGCUGGCCCUUAACUGUUUUUUCAUCUAAUUAUCAAAAUAGCCCUGGGAAAGGAAGUCAGAAGCGCAGGGGACAGAAGGAGCAUGGUUCGAAUCCCGGCUCUGUCCCUCAUCAGCUGGAGACUUGGGAGAGUUACUCGUCUAUAAAAUGGAGAUAAUAACAGUAACUACGUCCACAGGGCUGGUGUGCAGAGGCCAUGAAGCCAUCCACUGCAGGGUGAGAGUGGGGCAAGGACGAGCGGUGGCGAGGUGGGGAGGAGAGACCCUGGUUCAGCCUUGGGGUCCUCUGGGACUGCCGAUCUGCCUCCCGGACUCCGUUCUCCAGGCGGAGGGCUGGACCCUGCCGUGCCGCUGUUAAUUCGCCUCCGGGCCGCUGGCCGGUGAGUGGGAGGAGGAGAGCGCCGGGUGAAGCGGGGUGAGGACUCUCCAGCAAGUGCUCCCUCCAUCUGCCGUCAGCCCAGAGUCCCAGAGCCCCGGAUCGCAGCCUCCCUGCUGGCCGAGCCCCCAACACCCGCGGCGCGCCCCUCAGAGCAAUUACGUAACGAAGCCUCCGGUGCGCCGCGGAGAGGCCGCCUUUGUUAUUGCGAUCCUCCUCGGCAGCGGCCCCGCGAGUAUUAAUAAACCGAUCACUCAAAACGCCAGCCUGGGCUUUAUUUACGUAGAUUUGGGUUGGGGCGCCUCCGAGGGAAUUAUCCCCGCGGCCCGCCCGUCCCCCAGGAGGGAGAGAGGUGGAAUCCCUUCCCUCCCCUCCCCUCUGGUCUUUCACCUUCCCUUCAGCUCAGAGGCCCUCCCCCACCCACCUUGCUGAGCAGCCUGGUCCCAGCAGUGCAAACAAGAAUA